rfam:Candidatus Omnitrophica bacterium 4484_70.1 ex4484_70.1_scaffold_15, whole genome shotgun sequence.
UGCCCGGUGGUGUAACUGGUAACACACCAGAAUUUGGGUCUGGGUAUCUAGGUUCGAGUCCUAGCCGGGCAG